UGGCCUUGACAUAGAAAGAACUUUCCAGAGACGGAUUGGUGCUAGUUUACUAGAGCUUUCAUACAGGUGCUGCACGGCUGUCGUCAGCUCGUGUCGUGAGAUGUUGGGUUAAGUCCCGCAACGAGCGCAACCCUCAUGUUUAGUUACUAACAGUUCGGCUGAGGACUUUAAACAGACUGCCUGGGUAACCAGGAGGAAGGUGAGGACGACGUCAAGUCAUCAUGGCCCUUACGGCCAGGGCUACACACGUGCUACAAUGGGGUAUACAAAGAGCCGCAAUACCGCGAGGUGGAGCAAAUCUCAUAAAAUAUCUCCCAGUUCGGAUUGAAGUCUGCAACUCGACUUCAUGAAGUUGGAAUCGCUAGUAAUCGUGAAUCAGCAAUGUCACGGUGAAUACGUUCCCGGGUCU
rnacentral:rRNA from 1 species